rnacentral:lncRNA from 1 species
GUGUCGGGGCUGUAGGAGAUCACGCUAGGCAAGUACUUUACCUCGCAGCUGCACCCCAAGCCUACUUUUGAUUUUGAGCCAAGCUCUUAAAUUAGCCAGGAUGGCCUUGAACUUUUCUUUGCUUGCCUCAGCCUUUCGAGUGGCUGAGAUUGCAGGCUUGUGCCACCAGGCCCAGUGAAAAAGUCUUUGUUCUAAAACAGAAAAAAAAAAAAAAAAAAGGCAGACAUUUUCGAUAACAAUUUGACCUAAUCGCUUAGAUAUGCAUGCUCCAUUGCUUUCCAAAACAUUCAUACUGACAUAUUGACUGAUUUUUCUUUUUUUAAAGGGUUUCUGAAAUGUCCAUUUUACUCUGGCAGUAUCUUGUUACUUUUCUCGUUUAAAGUCAUUGAUGUACUGAAACAGCUAAAUUUGUUUCAUCAGCCACUAACACACGGGUCAGACCCACAGUUGGGAGGGCCCAGGGUUAGCCACUAGGAAGCCUGACAUAGUGAAAAGGAGGUACUGUAAGAGCCCACUGGGCCUGAUCUUCAGACGCCCUUUCUCCACUUGGUGAAAUGUCUUUUUUUGAGAAUCAGCAGUUGAUGGCAGCUCCAUACAGAUUGGAAGCAGAGCAGAUGGGUGCUGUCUACAUCCACGUUCCUCCAGUUAUCCAUCAUAUUAGCUCAGCAGUGGUUCAUAGUGCCUGUUCCCUCGUUCAUUAGUGCUAGAUCUCUUAUUUGGCAUAGCUGAAAUAGACAGCCUAGAAGUUUAGGUCCUGGUUCGAAUUCCCCUGGGCUAGCAAAGGUACUGAUUAGCAUGGGUGGUGUCCUCAGAAUGGGGUAAAACAUCAACCGAAGGCCUGUGAUCCAGGGGACAGAGAGCGUGUGGGCCUGGAGACUGCCUUCUGUUCUUGCUGGCUGCCUCGUUUUGAUUAGGAGGUCCGAGGGACACUGGAAGUGAGAUAGGUGGUAAUAAUUCCCACUCUCUGGGAGCUUCUAGCAAAAAUCUAAAGAACCUAGAGGCAUUAACCAGGUGAAGGAGGUGAGGGGAGGUUUUUGCAAGAAGAUGCUGCAGCAUAUAGAAGAUUCUAGAAGAGAGGAAGCUUUGGACACCAGGUGAGGCCAGAAGGCUGAAGUCUUAUUCUGCAUCUUAGAAUGGUGGUGCAAAGCCAGUGGGUGCUCAGUGUGAGUGAGCCUUGAAGAGCAGGGAGUGGGGCUGAUCUGAAAGAUCCCAGGAGUCCUCAGGCUGUGUGCUCAGCCAGAUGCAGUGUGGCCUCUUCAUGAUGUAUUCAUGUGUGAAAUAAACAUCCUAAGAACCUCUUUGAUUCUCACACCCUGUUCUAGAUAUUGCGGCUGCUUAAGUCCGCAAGACAGCCCCCCUGUUCUACUCAAUUUCAUCUUGACACAGCCUAGGGUCGUCUGAGGGGAUUUCAGUUGAAGGAUUGCCUCAAAUGGAUCAGCCAGUCAGAGAGAUUGUCUAGAUUGGUGAUGGGUGUGGGAGGGCCCAGUACAUUGGUCCUGCCUGGGUAGUGUAAGGCCAACGUGGGCUCUUCCAUACCAAUCAGAGGGGAUGUCUUAUAGACAGCAUACCUCCAUUAUUUCCAUAAUUUCUACAUUAGUUUUGCUUGAUUUCCUGCCCUGAUAUCCCUCAGUGGUGGAGUAUGACUAGGAAAUAUAAGCUGUAAUAGACCCUUUCUUCCCAGAGUUGCUUUUUGGUUGUCAUGGCAGCAGAAACCAAACAAGAACACUGUUUGCAGUAGUCGACAUUUCAGAGGAGUUGGUGAGGCAGUCAUUAGAUAAGCUGGUUCAGUGUGGUUGGAGAUGGGUAUGGCUUGUUAAGGGAGCAGGCAGCAUAGGAAUGACCCACUGUCAGGUAAGAAUGGUGAGAUUGACUAAGCUUGGCCCUGCCGGGUACCCUCAGGAAUCCCAGAGGUGGGUGCUUAGAAAGAUCCCUUUGGCCUCCGUGUUGAUAACCCAGCAGCAAUAAUCUCUGAGGAUUUCUUACUCUGUGUUAGGUGCCCUGAAGUAUUAACAAAAUUUACUGUCCACAGAACCCCUGAAGCUGUAUGAGGGUUAAUCUUGACUGUGGCAGUAAAGUACAACUUCUUGAGUGCCUGCAAGUGUUCCAAGAAUGGGACCCUGACCCUGUGAGUGAAUCCUGGUUCAUCACUUGAUGGCCUCCUGAGGAGGUUAGGUAAGGUAGGAGACAGGGCCUAGCUUGAGGAAGGCAGUUUGUGGAACUGUUCUUGGAGGCUGUGUCCUAAAGCUCCUAUCUCUGCUUCUUGGCCACCUCUGGUCCCCCCCCCCCCAUACUCCCACCCCUGUGAGGGACAAAGCUGACACUUUCAGAGCAGCAAAAUGAAGAAUUCUUUUCUCUGGUUGUCCUGUUGGGUUUGUGGUUCACAGUCCUGC